GAGGAUAUAGCUCAAUGGUAGAGGGUGUGCUUAGCAUGCACGAGGUCCUGGGUUCAAUCCCCAGUACCGCCA
rnacentral:tRNA from 1 species